AGAAACAUCUAUUGUUCUAUUAAAGGUUCAGUGACAUGUCAUGGUGAUAAAGUGAAGAAUGCCAACUGUCCUAAAGAUCAAUACAUGGUUGUCAAGAUUGCAUCUUACCGUGGAUUGCUUGCACCAAAGAUAUGUGGUUCAAGUGAUGACUAUAGUUGUGAAGUUGAUGUAACAUGUCUUGUUAAGAAACAAUGUGAUGGUCUACAUGAGUGUAAUAUAACUGUGGAUGACAAUUUGUUCUCUGGUGAUCUAUGUCCUGGAUUGUCAAACUAUCUUUACUUUGAAUAUCAUUGUAUUGAUACUGUGAAACCUUUUAAAGAACUUUGUGGUAUGCAUG
rnacentral:lncRNA from 1 species